CCUACGGGAGGCAGCAGUGAGGAAUAUUGGUCAAUGGGCGCGAGCCUGAACCAGCCAAGUAGCGUGAAGGAUGACUGCCCUACGGGUUGUAAACUUCUUUUAUAAAGGAAUAAAGUGCGGCACGUGUGCCUUUUUGUAUGUACCUUAUGAAUAAGGAUCGGCUAACUCCGUGCCAGCAGCCGCGGUAAUACGGAGGAUCCGAGCGUUAUCCGGAUGUAUUGGGUUUAAAGGGAGCGUAGGUGGGUUGUUAAGUCAGUUGUGAAAGUUUGCGGCUCAACCGUAAAAUUGCAAUUGAUACUGGCAGCCUUGAGUACGGUUGAGGUAGGCGGAAUUCGUGGUGUAGCGGUGAAAUGCAUAGAGAUCACGCAGAACUCCGAUUGCGAAGGCAGCUUACUAAACUGCAACUGACAUUGAUGCACGAAAGUGUGGGUAGCAAACAGGAUUAGAUACCCCUGUAGUC
rnacentral:rRNA from 1 species